rnacentral:rRNA from 1 species
UUCGAUCAUAGCUCAGAUUGAACGCUGGCGGGAUGCUACAUGCAAGUCGAACGGCAGCACGGACUUCGGUCUGGUGGCGAGUGGCGAACGGGUGAGUAAUGUAUCGGAACGUGCCUAGUAGCGGGGAUAACUACGCGGCCAGCUGUGCAUACGCCCUUCAGGGAAAAGCAGGGGGACCUUCGGGCCUCGCACUGGUGAAGCGGCCGAUAUCGGAUUGGCUAGUUGGUGGGGGUAACGGCUCACCAAGGCGACGAUCCGUAGCUGGUUUGAGAGGACGACCAGCCACACUGGGACUGAGACACGGCCCAGACUCCUACCAGAGGAGGGCAGCAGUGGGGAAUUACCUGGACAAUGGGGAAACCCCUGAUCCAGCCAUCCCGCGUGUGCGAUAGAGGCCUUCGGGUUGUAAAGCACUUUUGGCAGAAAGAAACGGCACGGGAUAAUACCCCGUGCAACUGACGGUACCUGCAGAAUAAGCACCGGCUAACUACACGUGCCAGCAGCCGCGGUAAUACGUAGGGUGCAAGCGUUAAUCGGAAUUACUGGGCGUAAAGCGAUAGCUGCGCAGGCAGUUCGGAAAGAAAGAUGUGAAAUCCCAGAGCUUAACUUUGGAACUGCAUUUUUAACUACCGAGCUGAUGUCAGAGGAGGUGAAUUCGCAUGCUAACGAUGAAGUAUGAAUAUGCGGAGGAACACCGAUGGCGAAGGCAGCCUCCUGGGAUAACACUGACGCUCGUGACGUGGGGAGCAAACAGGAUUAGAUACCCUGGUAGUCCCACGCCCUAAACGAUAUCGCCUAAGUACUGAUUCAGGACGGCCACCAGGGGCCUUGGUAGCGCAGCUUGCGCGUAAAGUUGACCGCUAAGGAAGUACGGUCGCAAGAUUAAGCUCAGGAAUUGACGGGGACCCGCACAAGCGGUGGAUGAUGUGGAUUGGUCGAAGUGCAGCGCGAAAAACCUUACUACCCCGCUUAAACAUGGAAUCCGAAGUUUGGGAGUGCUCGCAAGAGAACCGGAACACAGGUGCUGCGCCGGCUGUCGUCAGCUCGUGUCGUGAGAUGUUGGGUUAAGUCCUGUGAGCGCAACCGCUCAGCUCAGCUAGUUGCUACGAAAGGGCAUAAUGAGACUGCCGGUGAUGAAGCCGGGAGAAGGUGGGGAUGACGUCAAGUCCUCCGUAAACCUCUCCGUCCCAGGGCUUCACACGUCAUACAAUGGUCGGGACAGAGGGUCGACAACCCGCGAGGGGCCAAUCCCGAAACCCGAUCGCCGUCCGGAUCGCAGUCUGCAACUCGACUGCGUGAAGUGGAAUCGCUAAUAAAUCGCGGAUCGCUUGUCUUUCGCGGUGAAUACGUUCCCAGGUCUUGUACACACCGCCCGUCACACCAUGGGAGUGGGUUUUGCAGAAGUAGUUAGCCUAACCGUAAGGAGGGCGAUUACCACGGUAGGAUUCAUGACUGGGGUGAAGUCGUAACAAGGUAG